UUUGAAUUAGUGUAGUGGCUAACAUUUGACGCUCCCAAGCAAUUGUGACAAGUCAAGCCCGGGGUUCGAUUCCCCGAUUCAGAA